CGACACUGGCCAUGGACCAGCCAGCUGGCCUGCAGGUGGACUACGUCUUCCGGGGUGUGGAGCAUGCCGUGCGGGUGAUGGUGUCUGGGCAGGUGCUAGAGCUGGAGGUGGAGGACCGGAUGACGGCCGACCAGUGGCGGGCUGAAUUCGAUGCCAGCUUCAUCGAAGAUUUGACUCACAAGACAGGGAACUUCAAACAGUUCAACAUCUUCUGUAACAUGCUGGAGUCGGCCCUCACCCAGAGCAGUGAGUCGGUUACGCUUGACCUGCUGACCUACACAGAUCUGGAAUCCCUGCGGAACCGAAAGAUGGGAGGCCGCCCAGGCCCCUUGGCCUCGAGAUCAAGAUCGGCCCAGCUCAACUCCAAGCGCUACCUGAUCCUCAUCUACUCUGUGGAGUUUGACAGGAUUCACUACCCGCUGCCCCUCCCGUACCAGGGCAAACCAGACCCUGUGGUCCUGCGGGGCAUCAUUCGCUCACUAAAGGAGGAGCUGAGCCGCCUUCGAGGGCUGGAUGGCCAGGACACUCGGGACAGCCGGGAAACUGAGAUCUGGCAUCUGCGGGAGCAGGUGUCGCGUUUGUCGGCUGAGAAGCGCGAGCUGGAGGCCCAGCUGGGCAGAUCGCGCGAGGAGGCGCUGGCCGGGCGGGCGGCGCGCCAGGAGGUCGAGGCGCUGCGCGGGCUUGUGCGCGGCCUGGAGCUGGAGCUGCGGCAGGAGCGCGGCCUCGGGCACCGCGGGUCCGGCCGCCGAAGCCAGGAUUGCCGCCGCCUGGCCAAGGAGCUAGAGGAGGUGAAGGCGUCGGAGCGGAGCCUGCGUGCCCGGCUGAAGACGCUGAACACCGAGCUGGCCAUGUACAAGAGGGGGAGACGGACUACACCGGUGGUGCCGCCCUCGGCCCGGGAAGAUCGGGCUUCGACGUCUCGGGAGCGCUCCACGUCGCGUGGCCGUGGCGCUGCCCGCUUCUCAUCCCGGGAGAGCGACCGCGGGGGCCGGGGUCAAGGCCGCCCUGGCCGCCCCUCGCCCUCGCCCACAGGUGGUCGCGUGCCCCGUUUCGACCCAACAGCCUUUGUGAAAGCCAAGGAGAAGAAGCAGAGAGCGAUCAAGAUGAAGCAGCAGCAGCAGCGAAACCGAUUGGGCAGCGGAGGAAGCGGGGACGGUCCAUCCACCUCCUGGUCUCGCCAAACUCGGCCCCCCGUAGCCGUGACCGGUCGAGGAGACGCGGCUAAUCGCUCCCGAAACCGCAGCUCCUCGGUGGACAGUUUCCGCAGCCGCUACUCGUCCGCCAGCUCCUGCAGCGAGUUCGAGGAUUUCUCUGAAUCCCUCCCUAGAGGCGUUCGUCGCCGGGGGAAGCCGCCCAGCCCCACCACCUGGAGUGGGCCCAAUACGCAGCAGAAGCCUAGCCCCCUGGAACGCGGCCGCCAUCAGAGACGCUUGGCGGACUCGGGGGGCUCAGUCCCCAUCAAAGAGUACAGCUCAGACCACCAGGCAGCUGACAUGGCCGAAAUCGACGCCCGCCUGAAGGCCUUGCAGGAAUACAUGAACAGACUGGACGUGCACUCGUGACCUCAGAGAGAGACUACUGCCCCUCCAAUGGAUUCGGAUGGAUUCGGCGUGAGGGGCGGGGCUGGUGUGUCCUGGCCCCACCCAGGCCCCGCUCCUCCUGGUGCUGUUGGGGUCUCAGGUGUGUGAGACCCCAAUCCCUACGUCUCCCGCAGGCAUUGCAUUCUGGGAGGGAGGGUCUUCGUUGCGGCAUGUGGGAUCUAGUCCCCUGACCAGGGAUUGAACCUGGGCCCCCUGUGUUGGGAGUGCAGAGUCUUAACCACUGGACCACCAGAGAAGUCCCCAUCAGUUCCUGUCUUCAUGUACUUCUUCGCUGGAUUCCCCUUUGCCCCAGGAAUAAAUUGAUUGAAUCUUC